AGUGGAUAUACUGACAUAAUCAUGUGAGAGGUGCAACUAGAUGAGAUGAUGGCGAGUUCCCAGUCCUGUAGGCUACACUUAGGGUUUUAGAUGAGCCCUUAUUGUUCUGCAUUUGUUAUCGGCCAAUUCCAUGGCAUAUACAGGAUAUGUGUGUGGGUUUGGGUAGCUUAAAGAAAGGGAUCUCAAAUGGAUAUAUUAAUAGAGUUAAAAAAAUAUGAGGGAUAGAUUACUACCCUCUCUUAUUUCCAAACAGUCACUUUUGAGAGGAGAGGGUUAGGAACUAUUAACCAUCGCUAACAUAGAUGAAGAAUUUCUAUCCUUGUGACUAAAUUUCUAAAUUUGCAUAAUUUUACU